rnacentral:rRNA from 1 species
GAUGAACGCUGGCGGCGUGCCUAAUACAUGCAAGUCGGGCGAACAGAUGAGGAGCUUGCUCCUCUGACGUUAGCGGCGGACGGGUGAGUAACACGUGGAUAACCUACCUAUAAGACUGGGAUAACUUCGGGAAACCGGAGCUAAUACCGGAUAAUAUAUUGAACCGCAUGGUUCAAUAGUGAAAGACGGUUUUGCUGUCACUUAUAGAUGGAUCCGCGCCGCAUUAGCUAGUUGGUAAGGUAACGGCUUACCAAGGCAACGAUGCGUAGCCGACCUGAGAGGGUGAUCGGCCACACUGGAACUGAGACACGGUCCAGACUCCUAAGGGAGGCAGCAGUAGGGAAUCUUCCGCAAUGGGCGAAAGCCUGACGGAGCAACGCCGCGUGAGUGAUGAAGGUCUUCGGAUCGUAAAACUCUGUUAUUAGUGAAGAACAAAUGUGUAAGUAACUAUGCACGUCUUGACGGUACCUAAUCAGAAAGCCACGGCUAACUACGUG